GACGAACGCUGGCGGCGUGCUUAACACAUGCAAGUCGAACGGUAAGGCCCUUCGGGGUACACGAGUGGCGAACGGGUGAGUAACACGUGGGUGAUCUGCCCUGCACUUCGGGAUAAGCCUGGGAAACUGGGUCUAAUACCGGAUAGGACCACUGCCUGCAUGGGUGGUGGUGGAAAGCUUUUGCGGUGUGGGAUGGGCCCGCGGCCUAUCAGCUUGUUGGUGGGGUGAUGGCCUACCAAGGCGACGACGGGUAGCCGGCCUGAGAGGGUGACCGGCCACACGGGGACUGAGAUACGGCCCAGCCGCCUACGGGAGGCAGCAGUGGGGAAUAUUGCACAAUGGGCGCAAGCCUGAUGCAGCGACGCCGCGUGAGGGAUGACGGCCUUCGUGUUGUAAACCUCUUUCAGCACCGACGAAGCGCAAGUGACGGUAGGUGCAGAAGAAGGACCGGCCAACUACGUGCCAGCCGCCGCGGUAA
rnacentral:rRNA from 1 species